UUUUUUUCCAGGGGGGGCGAUCAUGGUGAGGGGGAAGACUCAAAUGAGGUGCAUAGAGAACGCCACAAGCAGACAAGUCACAUUCUCAAAGACACGAAAUGGGUUGCUAAAGAAGGCUUUUGAACUAUCAAUUCUUUGUGAUGCUGAAGUUGCCCUCAUCAUCUUCUCUCCCAGGGGCAAGCUCUUUGAAUU